AGGGGCGAAAGCUGGGGGAGCAAAGGGGAUUAGAUACCCCCGUAGUCCCAGCUGUAAACGAUGCGGGCUAGGUGUUGGGCGGGCUUCGAGCCCGCCCAGUGCCGCAGGGGAAGCCGUUAAGCCCGCCGCCUGGGGAGUACGGCCGCAAGGCUGAAACUUAAAGGAAUUGGCGGGGGAGCACCACAAGGGGUGAAGCUUGCGGUUUAAUUGGAGUCAACGCCGGAAACCUUACCCGGGGCGACAGCAGGAUGAAGGCCAGGCUAACGACCUUGCCGGACGAGCUGAGAGGAGGUGCAUGGCCGUCGCCGGCUCGUGCCGCGAGGUGUCCGGUUAAGUCCGGUAACGAGCGAGACCCCCGCCCCCAGUUGCCAUCCGGCCCCGGUGGUCCCCCACCGGGGCUGGGGCACUCUGGGGGGACUGCCGGCGCUAAGCCGGAGGAAGGAGGGGGCUACGGCAGGUCAGUAUGCCCCGAAACCCCGGGGCUACACGCGAGCUGCAAUGGCGGGGACAGCGGGUGCCGACCCCGAAAGGGGGAGGCAAUCCCUUAAACCCCGCCUCAGUAGGAAUCGAGGGCUGCAACUCGCCCUCGUGAACGUGGAAUCCCUAGUA
rnacentral:rRNA from 1 species